rnacentral:miRNA from 1 species
CACCCGUACAUUUGUUUCCGUGCU